rnacentral:rRNA from 1 species
CAGCCGCCACGGGAAUACGAAGGGUGCAAGCGUUACUCGGAAUUACUGGGCGUAAAGCGUGCGUAGGUGGUGGUUUAAGUCCGUUGUGAAAGCCCUGGGCUCAACCUGGGAAUUGCAGUGGAUACUGGGUCACUAGAGUGUGGUAGAGGAUAGUGGAAUUUCCGGUGUAGCAGUGAAAUGCGUAGAGAUCGGAAGGAACAUCUGUGGCGAAGGCGACUAUCUGGGCCAACACUGACACUGAGGCACGAAAGCGUGGGGAGCAAACAGGAUUAGAUACCCGAGUAGUCCCUGUCUCUUAUAA